GACGAACGCUGGCGGCGUGCCUAAUACAUGCAAGUAGAACGCUGAAGAGAGGAGCUUGCUCUUCUUGGAUGAGUUGCGAACGGGUGAGUAACGCGUAGGUAACCUGCCUUGUAGCGGGGGAUAACUAUUGGAAACGAUAGCUAAUACCGCAUAACAAUGGAUGACACAUGUCAUUUAUUUGAAAGGGGCAAUUGCUCCACUACAAGAUGGACCUGCGUUGUAUUAGCUAGUAGGUGAGGUAACGGCUCACCUAGGCGACGAUACAUAGCCGACCUGAGAGGGUGAUCGGCCACACUGGGACUGAGACACGGCCCAGACUCCUACGGGAGGCAGCAGUAGGGAAUCUUCGGCAAUGGGGGCAACCCUGACCGAGCAACGCCGCGUGAGUGAAGAAGGUUUUCGGAUCGUAAAGCUCUGUUGUAAGUCAAGAACGAGUGUGAGAGUGGAAAGUUCACACUGUGACGGUAGCCUACCAGAAAGGGACGGCUAACUACGUGCCAGCAGCCGCGGUAAUACGUAGGUCCCGAGCGUUGUCCGGAUUUAUUGGGCGUAAAGCGAGCGCAGGCGGUUUGAUAAGUCUGAAGUUAAAGGCUGUGGCUCAACCAUAGUUCGCUUUGGAAACUGUCAAACUUGAGUGCAGAAGGGGAGAGUGGAAUUCCAUGUGUAGCGGUGAAAUGCGUAGAUAUAUGGAGGAACACCGGUGGCGAAAGCGGCUCUCUGGUCUGUAACUGACGCUGAGGCUCGAAAGCGUGGGGAGCGAACAGG
rnacentral:rRNA from 1 species